CCAGCCAUGCCACACAGGGCCAGUGGCAUCUGUCCCCUCAAGUGGAAAGUCCCCUGGCCGAGCCUCGGCAUGGAAGAUGGCACUCGGACAAAAGCACCGUUUGCCUGGAUGUCGGCCGAUGACGGCCUUGGUCUGCACGAGGACUAGGAUGUCCUUUUAAAUAAAAUUGGCUUUGAAGAUGCAAUUCCAUUUAUUAGGAGAAAGUUGCAGACCAUCAAUCACCUUUUUGCAAAAGGCUGCUCAGACCAGGUAUCCCGGACCCUUGGGUUCUGAUCCUGCUGCACCCGGAGCUGGGUUGCGGACCCAUGAGGAGGAAAGGAUGUGCGUGUUCCUCGCCAAGGAGGAGGCAGAGAGCACCUGUGGGCGUGGGGAUGGACCGGUGGAUUCGAGGCCGAUUAUUUGCACAGCAGAUGUGUGUGUCUGUGUGGGGGGGUGUAUCCCUGAGUGUGUGUAUGAGGCUGGGGAAAGAGGAAAACAGGAUUUAAAACUGGCUCAUAACCUUUUGGGGGUGGUUGGGUGAGAGGGGAGGUGGUCUGGGAACUGCUGAGAACGGAAUGAAAACGUCACGGACACCCUCCGCAAAAAAGAACAAAAAAACCCCCAAAAACAAACCAAAAAGCAAAACCCAAAAAAACCUAAUGACACAAGAAAAUUCCACAAAUGUAUCCUCAGGGGUUCAAGGGUUCCCAAAAGCCCACGGUACCCUCCCUCCGCACCCCGGGACUAAGUCAGUGCACAGCCCUCCUAUUUAAGACAUCAGGAGACACUUUCUGUACCUUUCCUAGGCACAGUGCAUACGUAAAAAAGCAGCAGGCAAGAAAAAACAAAUCUUUCCUACGGCCAGCAAAAUGCUGAGCCACUGACCCUUGGGGCUUCAGGGCUCUGGGCAAAUGAGUACAGGCAUAGAGCCUCAGUUUUCCCAUCAGGACAAUGCGCCUGCACCCUGCCCGCCUCACCCGCAAGGUUGCUCUGAGGUUAUAACCAAAGGAUGGAGGUUGAAUCCCUCCAGACAUGGUUCAGUUUUCACCGUAUGCUCAAGCGCGCAGCCGUGGGCACCUUGGGGAGUGAGGCACAGUGACCUCCCCCAGGGGACACACGAUGGUCCGCCCUCAGGAGGCGGAAGCCUUAGGAAUCGCCUCCAGACACGUUCUGGAAGCUGCUCACCUUUCCAGAGAGGAUGAGGGGGUCCAUCAGCGCUCAGGAAGCCCACAGGCUUCACGAGAGGCCCCAGGCCCACAUCACUGCUAAUGACAGAGUGAGGCCAUCUCGUGGGCACCGGGGGCCCCCUCUGGGACUUCAGAGGCCUCUCGUCCAUCACCUGGAAAAGAAAGGUUUCCGAGGGCCCUGACUGUCCAGGGUGCCCCCACAUUCCCUACCCCGUCAUGAAACCUCCAAUCAUGGCGUUCUCCUGGUCUCACGGGUUAGCACCCUGACAGGAGUGUGUGUCCCAAAACACCUGGGCCCGAGAAGCUGCCUUUCUAAAGUCCAUCCGUCUCAGAUGAUGGUCAGUGUGAGCGACAGACAGCGUUGAUGAUGGAACCCACCCACGUCACCUCUGUGCUCCGCCCCUGCCUGUCACCCCAAGUCCCAGACAAGCCAAACCCGGGGCCAUGCUGGGAGACCCCUGCCCAGCCCCCUCCACAAUGUCACGGUCAGCAAAAAAAUGCAAGUCUGAGAAACCCGCCGGCAGGAGCCUGGGGAGGCGAGACCACUGCACACACAGCAGGGUCCUGAGACAGACGAAGGUAAAAGCACUGAAUAAAGGGUGACCUUUAAUAAGAAUUUGUCGAUAUUGGUUCACGAAUUGUGACAAACGUACCAUAGUAACGUUACAAUGUUAAACACGGGAAAUUGUGCGGGGUUUGUGGGAACCCCUCUGUAUUAUCUUUGUGAUCUUUUUCUUCAAAUCUGAAACUGCAUCUAAAAUGCAAAGUUUAUUAAAAUGUAAAAUGGAGUUCAUAAACACCUGUUUUGGGAUUCCCUGGCUGCAAUGCAGCCGAGAGGCAGCGUGCAGGGGGCGGGGGUGAGCAGCCGGCCUUGGCGGCAAAGGGCUGCAGACCUUGGCCUCCCAGAGGCACAGGACACUGAAAAGGAACUUUCCCAAAGAAGGGUCUCGGAGUCCAGCCCCACUAGAUGAGGCUGGGGCUGUGUCCCGAGACUUCACAUCAAAGCGGAUCCUGACGGGGAACCCUCUGGGCCUGUUUAGUCCUCGCGUCCCCAUCUUGUCCCCUUCCAAACCUGCACGGGCUGGGGGUCCGAGGCUCUCUGCCGCCCUUCCGUUCCCAGGCUGCUUGGGUUCGAAAGAUUUACCAUCUUUAU